rnacentral:rRNA from 1 species
CAGCAGCCGCGGUAAUACGAAGGGUGCAAGCGUUACUCGGAAUUACUGGGCGUAAAGCGUGCGUAGGUGGUGGUUUAAGUCCGUUGUGAAAGCCCUGGGCUCAACCUGGGAAUUGCAGUGGAUACUGGGUCACUAGAGUGUGGUAGAGGAUAGUGGAAUUUCCGGUGUAGCAGUGAAAUGCGUAGAGAUCGGAAGGAACAUCUGUGGCGAAGGCGACUAUCUGGGCCAACACUGACACUGAGGCACGAAAGCGUGGGGAGCAAACAGGAUUAGAUACCCGCGUAGUCCCUGUCUAUUAUAC